rnacentral:lncRNA from 1 species
UGUUCAUGCUAGUUGAUAUGUUUAUGUUAUGUGAUGUUCAGUUAGUUCUGGACUUCGGUCCGAUGCAGGGGGCAAGGCCCCAGUUAGUCCGGACUUUGGUCCGAUGCAGGGGACAAGGUCCCAGUCAGUUAGUCCGGACUUCGGUCCGAUGCAGGGGACAAGGUCCCAGUCAGUUUCCGGACUUCGGUCCGAUGCAGGGGGCAAGGCCCCAGUUAGUCCGGACUUCGGUCCGAUGCAGGGAACAAGGUCCCAGUCAGUUUCCGGACUUCGGUCCGAUGCAGGGGGCAAGGCCCCAGUUAGUCCGGACCUCGGUCUGAUGCAGUGGGCAAGGCCCAGUAUGUGCUUUAUAUGUUAUUGCAUGGUAUGUGGUAGAUUGGGGGAGCUCACUAAGCUUCGUGCUUACGGUUUUCAGUUUUGGUUUCAGGUACUCAGUUUUC